rnacentral:rRNA from 1 species
CUCCCAUCUAUAAAAAAAAUAUCGAAAAGCGAUAUUUGGUGUGUAUUGCAAAAUCUCGUGAACCAUCUAGUCUUUGAACACAAUUUGCGCCCGAGGCUAUUUGGGCCAGAGCGCCCCUGUCUGGGGGUCG